rnacentral:rRNA from 1 species
CCUACGGGUGGCAGCAGUGAGGAAUAUUGGUCAAUGGCCGCAGGGCUGAACCAGCCAAGUCGCGUGAGGGAUGACGGUCCUAUGGAUUGUAAACCUCUUUUGUCAGGGAGCAAAGGGCGCCACGUGUGGCGUUUUGCGAGUACCUGAAGAAAAAGCAUCGGCUAACUCCGUGCCAGCAGCCGCGGUAAUACGGAGGAUGCGAGCGUUAUCCGGAUUUAUUGGGUUUAAAGGGUGCGCAGGCGGAAUGUCAAGUCAGCGGUAAAAUUUCGGGGCUCAACCUCGCUCCGCCGUUGAAACUGGGGUUCUUGAGGGGGCGAGAAGUAUGCGGAAUGCGUGGUGUAGCGGUGAAAUGCAUAGAUAUCACGCAGAACUCCGAUUGCGAAGGCAGCAUACCGGCGCCCAACUGACGCUGAAGCACGAAAGCGUGGGUAUCGAACAGGAUUAGAUACCCUUGUAGUC